GAGUUUGAUCCUGGCUCAGGAUGAACGCUAGCGGCAGGCUUAACACAUGCAAGUCGAGGGGUAACGGGGAAGCUUGCUUCCGCCGACGACCGGCGCACGGGUGCGUAACGCGUAUACAAUCUACCUUGUACUGGGGUAUAGCCUUUAGAAAUGAAGAUUAAUCCCCCAUAGUCUCUUAGAGUGGCAUCACUUCUAGAGUAAAGGUUACGGUAUAAGAUGAGUAUGCGUUCUAUUAGUCUGUUGGUGUGGUAACGGCACACCAAGACUACGAUAGAUAGGGGCCCUGAGAGGGGGAUCCCCCACACUGGUACUGAGACACGGACCAGACUCCUACGGGAGGCAGCAGUGAGGAAUAUUGGACAAUGGAGGCAACUCUGAUCCAGCCAUGCCGCGUGCAGGAAGACUGCCCUAUGGGUUGUAAACUGCUUUUAUACAGGAAGAAACACCUCUACGUGUAGAGGCUUGACGGUACUGUAAGAAUAAGGAUCGGCUAACUCCGUGCCAGCAGCCGCGGUAAUACGGAGGAUCCAAGCGUUAUCCGGAAUCAUUGGGUUUAAAGGGUCCGUAGGUGGAUAAUUAAGUCAGAGGCGAAAUCUUGCAGCUCAACUGUAAAAUUGCCUUUGAAACUGGUUAUCUUGAGUUAUUAUGAAGUAGUUAGAAUAUGUAGUGUAGCGGUGAAAUGCAUAGAUAUUACAUAGAAUACCAAUUGCGAAGGCAGAUUACUAAUAAUCAACUGACACUGAUGGACGAAAGCGUGGGUAGCGAACAGGAUUAGAUACCCUGGUAGUCCACGCCGUAAACGAUGGUUACUAGCUGUUUGGACUUCGGUCUGAGUGGCUAAGCGAAAGUGAUAAGUAACCCACCUGGGGAGUACGUUCGCAAGAAUGAAACUCAAAGGAAUUGACGGGGGCCCGCACAAGCGGUGGAGCAUGUGGUUUAAUUCGAUGAUACGCGAGGAACCUUACCAGGGCUUAAAUGUAAGUUGCAUUAGUUAGAGAUAGCUAUUUCUUCGGACCACUUACAAGGUGCUGCAUGGUUGUCGUCAGCUCGUGCCGUGAGGUGUCAGGUUAAGUCCUAUAACGAGCGCAACCCCUGUUGUUAGUUGCCAGCGAGUCAUGUCGGGAACUCUAACAAGACUGCCAGUGCAAACUGUGAGGAAGGUGGGGAUGACGUCAAAUCAUCACGGCCCUUACGUCCUGGGCUACACACGUGCUACAAUGGUAGGUACAGAGAGCAGCCACUGCGCGAGCAGGAGCGAAUCUAUAAAACCUAUCACAGUUCGGAUCGGAGUCUGCAACUCGACUCCGUGAAGCUGGAAUCGCUAGUAAUCGGAUAUCAGCCAUGAUCCGGUGAAUACGUUCCCGGGCCUUGUACACACCGCCCGUC
rnacentral:rRNA from 1 species